UACGAAGGGUGCUAGCGUUGUUCGGAAUCACUGGGCGUAAAGCGCGCGUAGGCGGCUUUUCAAGUCAGAGGUGAAAGCCUGGAGCUUAACUCCAGAAUUGCCUUUGAAACUGUAGAGCUAGAGUAUUGGAGAGGAGUGCGGAAUACCUAAUGUAGCGGUGAAAUGCGUAGAUAUUAGGUGGAACACCGAUGGCGAAGGCAGCACUCUGGACAAUAACUGACGCUGAGGUGCGAAAGCGUGGGGAGCAAACAGG
rnacentral:rRNA from 1 species